AGAGUCUCCAUUUGUUUUACGAGAACUUCUAAUGAUAAUACAGACUGGUGAACUAGCUGCAGGGGAAGAGCGUCUGCGUGAGGUCUUCCAACAAGUUCAACAACUGAAGGCUAUGCAAAGACUGCAUUGAUAUUUGCUGCCAACACUUCGAUCAAGUUCAAAGUUGCCUUGUCCGCAAUCUAUCACUCGGACGUCAUGGUUGGAUGGGAUCGAAGAAGCCGUUCCAUUCUAGCUGUUUUCCUCCUCAUCCUCUUUGUGGCGUGCCUGAUAGGCGGAGCGGUCCUGAUUGCUGAGGGAGUCAACGCUGAACCAUAUUAUGAGGGUGGGAUCCGAAUUGCGUGGGGAGUUGUUUGCUUGCUCAUUUGUAUGCCUUUUGGCCUCGCAGGCUGUGUGCUUGGGUGUCAGGUCCGAAUUGAGAGUCAAAAUUUCAACAGAGCUCUGCGGCAAUGUUCCCAUGAAAGCGCAAGUAUAGCCCAGCCAGUUAGAAAAGGAACUGCUGCAGCUGCUGUUCCCGGCGCCGCCGUCAUCCCGAACGCAAUCAUCCUACCCACUAACAAUCCAGUUGGGCCGGUAAUGGCCAUGCCAGUCACACAUCCUGCUUAACAAUUACAUUAUAUUGUGGCAUACGACUACUGAUCCCGAACACAACAUGAGCAGCGACAGGCGUAGCAGCACCAGCAACAGGAGCAGCAACAACAGCCUCAGGAUGAGCAAACCACCGCAUCCGUCCCCUCUGCGCCGCUGUUACUGGAAUCUGCCAGGAACGAUGCUCCUCCGAGCUAUUCACAAGCAUUUGCCACUGAAGUCUUAAGUGACUGACACAAAAGAACUGUUCACACCUUGUUUGUACUACGGAACAGGUACAUGUAAUAAUAAUAAUAAUAAUAACUUUAUUAGGAAGACCCAAAGGCUGACCGCCUAUCGUGGGGUCCGUCGCAU